rnacentral:rRNA from 1 species
UACGGGGGGAGCAAGCGUUGUUCGGAUUUACUGGGCGUAAAGGGCGCGUAGGCGGCGCAACAAGUCACUUGUGAAAUCUCCGGGCUUAACCCGGAGCGGCCAAGUGAUACUGUCGUGCUAGAGUGCGGAAGGGGCUACUGGAAUUUCCGGUGUAGCGGUGAAAUGCGUAGAUAUCGGAAGGAACAUCAGUGGCGAAAGCGGCUCACUGGCCCGAUACUGACGCUGAGGCACGAAAGCGUGGGGAGCAAACAGG